UCUCUGGUAGUAUAUCGGUUAGUACACGCGCCUGUCAUGCGCAUAAAGUUACAGGUGACGUCCGCGCGAAAGCUGGGUUCGACUCCCAGCCAGAGAG